ensembl:lncRNA
AUAAGAAUCUGCCCAUUGUCAUAGGGACUGAACAAAAGGGCACCCAAUUCAGUGGUGGACAAGUGCCGCUAUGGAAGAAGGUGCUGAAUCAGCCAUUCAUCUCAGAUUUUCUGGGUCAUGAGUCACGCUGAGGACUACAGAGCAGUGGAUGACCGAGUCUAGCUUCAGUAGUCACUGAGAGCACCUCUCUUUUCUUCCUGUAGAAGUAAGGACACUGAGCAGCCCGCAGCUGUCUGAAGUUGCAGUUGGAGGAAAAAUACUUCUCAGCUUAGCUUGCAGCUGGAAUAUGCAUGUGAACAUGAACUUACAAAGAUAUAAGGAUCCUCUUGCUAAAAUUCAGGCUUAAGUUACAAGCAUAUGAGGUAAAAUGGCAUGUUUUUCCUCAAGACUCUCAUUGAAAACAAAUUCUUUGUGUGCAAAUAUCCCUUCCCCCUCAGAAACAUUCACCUGAGGCAUAUGGCUUGUCUCAAAAAG